CUCCUUUGUUCUCAGUGCCUCUCAGGCUUAUAAAUUAUGCAAAUUCUCCAUCAGUUUCCCAAAUCAGGCAAGACACAUUUCAGUUCCUUGAGAAGCUAUCCAAAAACCCAAAUUCCCGAUGCAUGCUUCACUCUUCUCCCUCCAUUUCAUGACAGAAGCCACGAGUUGGACUCCUCUAGAUUGUGCUGAGCUAUACCUUAUCUGUAGCACUAUAUCUGUAGACCUGUACCUGUAGACUGUCUCAUGUGUAGCACGGUAUCUAUAGAUCCUCUGAUGCUGCGACAAGGCACCCUUGUUCACCUUUGUUUUCAGCAGCCUGGAGACAUCCAAACCAUGUUGGUUCCAUUAGUGCUUGGAGUCAGGCAAACAGAACCAUGUCCCUCAGGGUAGCCCUAUAUAAAAGCUACAAUGUUGAAUGCUUAUUUCACUAUUUUCUACAUCCUAGUCCAGAAGCCACAAACUGAGCUAUGCUGUGUGGGCUGAAGGAAGGGAUACUUGUAGAUAAAAUUAAACAGCUCUUCUCACCUAUUUCAAUGCAGCUAUUCUGAGCUCUGUAUUUCCCUGGCGUACUGCAAAUUCUUAACUCGUUCCUAGAAUUCCUGUAAAGAUUUUUUUGGUCUGUACAUUUUUGUUAAUUUACUUUGUCUGUGAAGGAACCUGGGCUGGGACUUUUUAUUCUAUCAUCUUGCUGAUAUAACUUCACCUUCUUUCUGCUACUGAGUCUGCCUGGUGUUCUCCUGACAAGACUGCCAGUGACUUGCACCAUU